rnacentral:rRNA from 1 species
UACGUAGGCAGCAAGCGUUGUUCGGAGUUACUGGGCGUAAAGGGUGUGUAGGCGGUUGGUUAAGUUUGGGGUGAAAUCUCCCGGCUCAACUGGGAGGGUGCGCCGGAUACUGAGUGACUCGAGUGCGGGAGAGGAAAGUGGAAUUCCUGGUGUAGCGGUGAAAUGCGUAGAUAUCAGGAGGAACACCGGUGGUGUAGACGGCUUUCUGGACCGUAACUGACGCUGAAACACGAAAGCGUGGGUAGCAAACAGG